rnacentral:rRNA from 1 species
UACGUAGGUGGCGAGCGUUGUCCGGAUUUACUGGGUGUAGAGGGCGUGUAGACGGGUUAGUAAGUUGGAUGUGAAAUAUCACGGCUCAACCGUGGGGCUGCAUUCAAAACUGCAAAUCUUGAGUGCCGGAGAGGAAAGCGGAAUUCCUAGUGUAGCGGUGAAAUGCGUAGAUAUUAGGAGGAACACCGGUGGCGAAGGCGGCUUUCUGGACGGUAACUGACGUUGAGGCGCGAAAGCGUGGGGAGCAAAC